rnacentral:tRNA from 1 species
GGAGGGUGAUGGGUGCUGGUGUGCCCCGCAGUCUUCAAAACUGUUGUGUGGGGUUAGGAGCCUCACGGGUGGGUUCGAUUCCUACCACCUCC